rnacentral:lncRNA from 1 species
UACUCUUCCAAUUGAACUUAUAAUUUUUGAUUUUAUGUGGUUGUUUUAUUAGACAGACUGGACUUCAGAAGUUAGAAUCAGCAAUCGGCAUUAGUAUUUUCCAAGCACUGCCUUCAACUAGACUCUGGGUUACUUUCUCCAACUCAGCAAGAUAUCUUCAGCAAAUGUCACAUACUUGCAGCAGAGAGCAGAGAGAGGAAGCCACGUCUCUCAUGACACUUAUAAAGGCACUAAUGCCAUUCAUUGGAGCCCCUCUCAUGAUCUUAC